UACGUAGGUGGCAAGUGUUGUUCGGAAUUACUGGGCGUAAAGGGCGCGUAGGCGGCCUGCUAAGUCGAACGUGAAAUCCCCGGGCUCAACCCGGGAACUGCGUCCGAUACUGGUUGGCUUGAAUCCGGGAGAGGGAUGCGGAAUUCCAGGUGUAGCGGUGAAAUGCGUAGAUAUCUGGAGGAACACCGGUGGCGAAGGCGGCAUCCUGGACCGGCAUUGACGCUGAGGCGCGAAAGCCAGGGGAGCAAACGGG
rnacentral:rRNA from 1 species